CCCGGCACAAGCGGCGGAGCAUGCGGAUUAAUUCGAUGCAACGCGAAGAACCUUACCUGGGUUUGACAUAUGCCGGAAAGCCGUAGAGAUACGGCCCCUUUUAGUCGGUAUACAGGUGGUGCAUGGCUGUCGUCAGCUCGUGUCGUGAGAUGUUGGGUUAAGCCCCGCAACGAGCGCAACCCUCGUCUUAUGUUGCCAGCACGUCAUGGUGGGGACUCAUAAGAGACUGCCGGGGUCAACUCGGAGGAAGGUGGGGAUGACGUCAAGUCAUCAUGCCCCUUAUGUCCAGGGCUUCACGCAUGCUACAAUGGCUGGUACAGAGAGUGGCGAGCCUGUGAGGGUGAGCGAAUCUCGGAAAGCCGGUCUCAGUUCGGAUUGGGGUCUGCAACUCGACCUCAUGAAGUCGGAGUCGCUAGUAAUCGCAGAUCAGCAACGCUGCGGUGAAUACGUUCCCGGGGCUU
rnacentral:rRNA from 1 species